rnacentral:rRNA from 1 species
UGGGGAAUUUUGGACAAUGGGCGAAAGCCCGAUCCAGCAAUGCCGCGUGUGUGAAGAAGGCCUUCGGGUUGUAAAGCACUUUUGUCCGGAAAGAAAUCCUUGGCUCUAAUACAGUCGGGGGAUGACGGUACCGGAAGAAUAAGCACCGGCUAACUACGUGCCAGCAGCCGCGGUAAUACGUAGGGUGCAAGCGUUAAUCGGAAUUACUGGGCGUAAAGCGUGCGCAGGCGGUUUGCUAAGACCGAUGUGAAAUCCCCGGGCUCAACCUGGGAACUGCAUUGGUGACUGGCAGGCUAGAGUAUGGCAGAGGGGGGUAGAAUUCCACGUGUAGCAGUGAAAUGCGUAGAGAUGUGGAGGAAUACCGAUGGCGAAGGCAGCCCCCAUGGGCCAAUACUGACGCUCAUGCACGAAAGCGUGGGGAGCAAACAGGAUUAGAUACCCUGGUAGUCCACGCCCUAAAACGAUGUCAACUAGUUGUUGGGGAUUCAUUCCUUAGUAACGUAGCUAACGCGUGAAGUUGACCGCCUGGGGAGUACGGUCGCAAGAUUAAAACUUAAAUGAAUUGACGGGGUCAUAGCU